CAAUUUGUCGGUUGCAAGGGAAGGAGGAAACAGAGAGAGGAUUCCACAUGAAAGGGAGGACUCAGUCGUACUUGUCGCUCCAGCAGUAGACGAGGAAGAGAAGCCAGGAAAGGCCAAGGACGAGGUCACCUACGAGCUGGCGAGGCCAGUCGCGGGCGAGGCAGUCGACGCGGCGCUCGAAGCAGACGCGCCAGAGGGCAACGGCGGCAUGGAGCAGGGCGCAGCCCUUGGCGAAGAAGGCCUGGAAGUCGCGGUCCUCCACGAAGGCCACCAUGAAGAGCAGGAGGCCGAUGGCGAAGAGCAACAGCCCGGCGAAGGAGUCGGAGGUCUGGAUCAGCA
rnacentral:lncRNA from 1 species